UAAAUUGCGUUAGCUUCUCUUUACUGAGAGGCUAAUUCUUUUCUGUGAACUGGGUGUGACUCGCCCUUUUCUCUCUUUUUUUUUUUCGUCUGUCUUCUUUGCUUUUCGCUUUGCGUUGGGUAUUGUGAGGCAAGCAGGGGAAAGGGGAAGAGAGGUGAGUUGUGCUGGGUGCGUGUGACUUUGUUUUUCUCUCUUUUCACGUUUUCGUUUUGUGGUUGCCUUUUGCUUGCAUUGGGCAGCCAGCCGAGAUGGAGACGUUGGAAGUGGGGGAGGAGCGAGUUGUGCGCACUGCCAUUUGUAGUCUGUUGUGUUCUGUUCUUAAAGUUUUCUGUAAAAAAGA
rnacentral:misc_RNA from 1 species